UAUAGUCAACAUUUACGUUCUCCUGGAUUUUCUCCUCGCUCUAGUGAUUUUGUAUCCAUUAGUAUUCCUCGUUUUUCACCGUUGGUGACACUUUGGUUUGUUUUUAGCUCCACGCUUGUUAGCAUCCUUAGUUUCGUAUUUUUGUCCUGUGUUUUAUUUAUUGAAAAAACUUAAUCUUACCUGCAAGCUACUCCUGCUUUUCUUCCUUGGAAGGAACUCUACCAGCGCUGCCAUGCGCCCCAGAAGAGGAUUCUGGAGGAUGACGUUCCAAAAAAGGGUAGUUGUUACGCCGGUUCGGCAUUGUGAUGCCGGGAUCGAUUCCCUCGAGGAUGCGUCAAAAUUGAACACAGCAAAGCUGAAGGCGAGGUGGAAAAUCUCCAAGGAAAAGGUUGAGGUGAUUGUCAGCUGAUUUCCAUGAGAAAGCUGCAGAAAGGUGAAGUGCAUGCUGGGAGGGCGAGGAGUAGUGAUUGACGUCCAUGAUUCUCAUAACAAAACAUCAAUAUUUUAAUCAUGACUUUCGGGAGCUACCGUAUUUCCUUGAAUUGCCGCCGGGGCGCUAAUUAAUUUAAAACCUCUUCUCAUUCCUGCGCUUACCAAAGGCAUGCGGUAAAAGUGUAAAAGUAAGCAUGCGCUAAUUAUUUUAAAACGUCUUCUUACUCCGGCACUUACCAAAGGCAUGCAGUAAAAAUUUGAGUGUGAUGUAAGCUUGGACUUUAAUUCCUACUGAAUAGCUCUUAAUCUUCUUCCCUUUAUGCGAUUUCAAAUUACCGGUAUUGAAAUCAGACUCCUCCAUUUUGAAAAUGAUGACAGGGGAAGUGUCACUCGUGACGUCACAAGUUUGACCAGGCGGUAAUUCAAUGCAGGAGCAUACUAUAUGCCCUGCGGCAAU